UCAACCUCUCUCUACAUUCCCAUUUCUACCUCUCAUGUUCAUCAAAUUAGUCUCUUUAAACAUCGCUGAUUACUUCGCGAUCGAAUGGCUGAAAAAUAGAAAUCCACAUCGGAGGAGGCGACCGUCGGGAAAUGAAAUGCGGUGAGUGGUUUCCAUGCAAUGUUUUGUCAAGUUAGCAGUCUGGCUUCUACUUUGCCUUUGCUUCAUUGUCUGUUCGACCUUGAACGUCUUUAAUGUUACUCUAAAACCCUAAUUUAAGUUAGAUAAUUUUCCUCUUAUACUAUUUUUUUUAUAAAUGGAUUUUUAAUCUUUUAAUUUGCCGAUUAUAUUAUGAUUAUUGUCACAAAAACUGAUUAUCUUUUCGCUUCUCCAUUUUUGAGUCGAUUUCAGUUUUCACCUACCUUUUCAAGAGUUAAUUAAACGUUGCCAAAUAUUUAAAUUUCCUCGAAUUUUCUCUCGAAUUAAUUAAAUGUAUGUUCAUGACUUCAUGACUUAUUCUUCUUCAAAAAUAGUUUGUAAUGAUUUAAAUUGUUAUUGUUAUAUAUAUACCCCAAUUUUUGUCGAACAUAUUUCAAGGUCGAGCAGCCUUCGAAUCUAAGGUAUAGCAAGCAAUGACUGAUAAUUUGCCAAGGAUUUGGCAUGGACACCAACGCCUUAUGCAACUGCAUACAGAGACGGAGCUAAGAAAUUAUCUCAGCGAGAAAAAUAAAUAUGAGAAAAAUUUGAGAAUUCAAGAAAGAGCAUUCAAUGCAUAGAUAAAAAUAAAUAAAUUUUAGAAGGAGUUGGGGAAAUUAAUAUGUGGGGGCAUAUGUCCCUCCUAACGAUAUGCUAGCUCCGCCCCUGACUAUAUACGUCUCACUAGUCACAUCCCCCACCCGAAAAUAGGAGCAAACGACCCCUUAAUUUUAGCAACUUCGAUUAACACUAUAUCAUUGUUUGUUCUAUGAUCCUCGUUUUAAAUACUGCAAAAGGUAAUAGUACUAAGAAGAAUUAUAUAUGUUCUUUUGUUAGCAUAUGGUAUUUUUCUUUUUUAAAAGUUCAUGAAUAAAUUUUAAAAUGAUGCCACGAUCUGACAAGGAUGUAAUAUAUUCUCCGUGUAAAGUUUGUACGUUAUUCUUCAUGCUCCAUUCAAAAUUGGGGUUCACAAAAUCCCAGGUUCCAUACUUUAAAUUGAAAGAGACUCAUUUUAAUCAAUUAUAAUAUUCUUUGAGAAACCUCUUUUUUCAAUCAAAAUGAAGGACUUAAUUAACCAAACUAAGUAAAAUCAAUAUCAAUUACAAUAAAUAUGGGGAAAUUUCGCAUAAAAGAGACUUAUUAUUAGAUCAAUUUAUGUUGUGGAUGAACUUAUAGUAAAAUAUGUUAAUUUUGGAACUUAUUAUAAUUCCCCAUUUUUUCUAAUAUAAGGAUACUUAUUGAAUAUAACGGAGUAGCAUCAUUUAUCACAUACAACAUCAUUUCCUCGAAUUAAAUAUGCAAAGCUAUCUCAUAGAUAUCACACCUGUAAAUAACCAACACGUCACUUCCUCAAUAAAUAUUUUUGGUGGGGGGAUAUUUGUACCUAAAUAUUGCUUAUAAAAGAAGAAUGCGUACUACCUCAACAUAAAUAGUCAGAUUUUUUUAUAGAAAUUAUAAAUCUUGAACCUUGAUUAAAUUCAUGCUUAGGUUAAAGAAGUGCGCCGCACACAUGAAAACGAAACAUAGAUUAUUUCGUUUGAAAUUGUAAUAGAUUUAGAGGUAGAAAUGAAUGGGUUGGUGAAAAUAUUGUGAAAAUUACAAAUGCACAAUCUUCACCGGUCGGUCAAACAUUGCAUCGAUUUUAACCAUUAGAUUAUUUCCACCCAACCCAAAUAUCUUUGGAGCUUUAUAUGUGUCCCUAUAAAUUCAACUCAUCUACAAUCAACAUGCUUCCAUGACUUUCUCUCUUUCUCACACACACAUCUUAUCUUGGACAAGGGGUUUUCUCGGAUGAUCGGUCGGAAGUUUGAGGUGAUCGAACGAUCAUGACGUGUAUUGAUGGCGUGAAACAUGUAAGCGAUUCCCGUAUUAUUCUUGUCAAGUCAGCCAUCGCCUUAAUUUUGCAGUUAGCCUUUGCUUCAUUGUCUGUUCGACCUUGAAAUUGAUAGAAAACCCUAAUUGUGACCUUAUAUUAUGCACAAGAUUUCUUCAAUUGUUGAAAUUUGGAUCAUGUAUAGAUUAACUAGUUCACAUGAAUGAAUUUAAGGUUAUGAAAUUCUUCUAAGUAUCGAUCGAAUAUCAAAUUAGGAAUCAACGAUCGAUUUGGAGACUAUAAAAUCAUAGAAAUUUCAAUCAAUAUAUAUAUGCACUACAUAUAACACUAUAUAUAAGUAGAACACUUAAAUUGUGAUAUAUAUAUAUGAAUGGAUGUGGAUGCUAUAUAUUGAAUCAUAAGAGGAAAUAUAUAUUUAUAAAGAUGAAGAAAUAAACAUAGAAUAUUUAGGAACUUGUAUUUUCUGACAUGGCUGAUCAUACAGAUUUUGCUUGGAUCCUUCUAGUAUUGAAACUGCUGUAUUUUUGUCAUCUACAUAAUAAAGCCAACUGUAAUUCUCACCUUUUUAUAAUUUCAACUUUCGGCCUUAAUCCACAAGCCCGGUCGAGCAGGAUUAGUCGAAUUCCGCCAAAAGGCGGAUUCGGUACACCUGUGGUUAAACCAAAAAAAAAACUAAAUAUCUCUACUAAAUAAUGAUAUGAAUACAUAGGUUGAUUGGUGUUGGUGUAGGGUAUGGGUAAAAGUGAUUCAUUUACUAUAGUUUUAAAUAGGGGGACCAUGGAAGCCCAUUGCAUAUUAAUGUGUUUCAAUUAAAGGUACCAAACUCUUUGGAAUUGAAUUUGAUGAAUAAAUCAAGAAUUGGGAGUGUUGGUGCAUGUAUCUUGAAAUAUAAAUAAAUAAAAAUUGGUGAUGAUUUAAAUCUCUGUAUAAAGUUUUUAUAUGAAAUGAGAGAUGAGAUUGAAAUAUGAGUAUGUGGUAGAUAGUUUGUAACAAUUAGGGAAUUAAAAAGGGUGUUUAAUUAAGAUUAGUUUAAGGUUGAACAGCAAUGAAGCUAAGUUAUAACUUGCAAUUGACUGCUGACUUUGCCAAGGUUAUGUAUGGAAAUCGAUUAAUCAAUCGAAUAAUCAAUUGCAGCAGAAAAGGGUAAGAAAUUUUGCAGUUUCAGAUUGUUGUAUAUUAUGUUUUUAAUUAAUUAUUUAUUUAUUUAUAGGGUAUGUAUGUACUAGAGUAAUAAUUUAAAAAUAUGAAAUUAUAUAUAUGGUAUUUCGUUAUACUUAGUUUCUAUAUCAUUGUGUGCAUGUAAUGUCUAUAUCAUGUACAUAUUGUGGAUGACCCUCGAUCGAUCGAUUUUGUUGUUAAUGGUGCACGACUUGUCGCUUUUGGGGGCGAUUUUUUUUAUUUCAUUUCGUUUUUUUUAUAUUUUAAAGAGUAGAUCUGAGCUAUGAGUUGUACAAAAUGUGGUACUCUCUACUCUAUUUAUAUGUACAAUAGUUUGUCAAUUAUAAAUGAAUUAAUAGGCAAUUACUACUAAAGAUGUUAGAACUUUGACCAAAAGAGCCAUGCCUAAAAAAAUCUAAAACUCGUGUUUCAUUUUGUUAGAAGGGCUUUAUUGUAAAUCCACAUUUAUUAGUUAAUUUGGAUAUAUUGGGAAUAUUAGGAACUUUCUUUUGAAUAGUAGUAUGAAUUAUGAACUACAUUGGGUGAAAGAUUUUGACUAAAUGAUAUAUCCAUGAUAUUUUUUUCCCGUGGAAUAAUGCAUAUGUAUAUGUAUACUAUGCAGACUUCAUGAUAAUGUGUUAUAGGCUGCAAUAGGGUUUUGGUUAUGAUCUCUAAUAUUUCACAUUGAUUAUGAAUGAUAACUUGUGUAAGUUUAUAGAUCAAAUGAGCUUUCUCUUAAGUCUUAAGAUACUAGUCUUUUGAAACAAAUUAUCUUGUUUGCCAGUGGGGAUGAGAUCUAGUAACCAAAACUAAGCUCCAUGAUCUUGAGUAAAUGUUCAAACACAUUUUGUAUAUGAUUUGUCUUUAUGCAAAUUAUUGAUUUAUUUACAAUAUCAAUUAAAAUGAACAUAUAUUACCAGAAAAAUAAUGAACUUUAAUCAAAUUUCAGUCCGUCCUGCAACUUUAUAAAAACCACGAACUUGAACAUUUUUUUUCAAUUAAUGUUUCAUGACGAAAUAUUCAGAUUUUAUUUUUGUAAUAUGUUGAUGAUUUGACGCACAUAUAUUUAUUUCCUAAGUUCGUUGAGAACAAUGAUAAAAUUCCACAGGCGAUCUAUUCCUUGUAGACCUUUUCGGAUGCCAAAUUAGAUACUCCCAAUUUUCACCCAAAUUAGACCAUGUGGGAAAAUUGACAAAAAUUUUAAAUUUAUGAUUUUUAUUGACGAUUAUUAAAGUUGACAAUCAUUAAAGUUGCGGGACCGAACCAAAAUUUUAUCAAAAUUCAAGAUUUUUUUGAAAUUUUGACCUUAAAGUAAUCAAUUUUUGUAUAUAUAGCAAUAGUGUUUGUUUUAAUAACCACCAUAUAUCGAUUAUACAAGAUCUAUACAUAUAUAUUGUAUAAUUGGUUUUAUAUCUUCUAUGAGGCACCGUACUUUCUUUGUAUUGUGUCAUUACACUAGUAUCAUUUUUUUCAUAUAUUGAUGUAGAAAACUAAUAAGCUAAUUGAGAGUAAAAACUAAAAACCCUAAGUUUACAUCACCUUCCGACGUAGGCACACAUGGUAAUAAACUUGUAAGCAGUAUUCUUAGAUUGUCUAAUGUUUUUUCUUGAUUGUUUCUUUUUAACUCAACACGAAAUUAAUGUGUGAAUGAAGAUAUUUUUUUGCAGCGGUGGCUUCGUGACAAGUGGAAUGCAAUGGGUGAAUUUAAACUAAGCGAAGAGAAGAAGAGAUGAUUUACUGAUUUAGAUGUUGAAUAAUCAUUUGGUUUAAUUCCUUUGUGUGCAAACUAAUUAAGUGGAGAUCUCAAUUCUCAAUACACUGAUGUUGAUGAUCUUAA